AGAGUUUGAUCCUGGCUCAGAAUCAACGCUGGCGGCGUGCCUAACACAUGCAAGUCGAACGCGAAAGUCCCGCAAGGGAUCAGUAGAGUGGCAAACGGGUGAGUAACGCGUGGGUGACCUGCCUUCGAGCGGGGGAUAACGUUCCGAAAGGGACGCUAAUACCGCAUAACAUCCUGCUUUUUAAGAAGUGGAGAUCAAAGCCUGGGACCGCAAGGCCAGGCACUCGAAGAGGGGCCCGCGUCCGAUUAGCUAGUUGGUGGGGUAAUGGCUCACCAAGGCUCCGAUCGGUAUCCGGCCUGAGAGGGCGGACGGACACACUGGGACUGAGACACGGCCCAGACUCCUACGGGAGGCAGCAGUGGGGAAUUGUUCGCAAUGGGCGCAAGCCUGACGACGCAACGCCGCGUGGAGGAUGAAGAUCUUCGGGUCGUAAACUCCUUUCGAUCGAGACGAACGGCUUCCGGGUAACAUCCGGAAGAGUGACGGUACCGAGAGAAGAAGCCCCGGCUAACUCCGUGCCAGCCGCCGCGGUAAUUC
rnacentral:rRNA from 1 species